UACGUAGGGCGCAAGCGUUGUCCGGAAUUAUUGGGCGUAAAGAGCUCGUAGGCGGCCUGUUGCGUCCGCUGUGAAAUCCCGGGGCUUAACCCCGGGCUUGCAGUGGAUACGGGCAGGCUGGAGGCAGGCAGGGGAGAACGGAAUUCCCGGUGUAGCGGUGAAAUGCGCAGAUAUCGGGAAGAACACCCGUGGCGAAGGCGGCUCUCUGGGACGGUACUGACGCUGAGACGCGAAAGCGUGGGGAGCGAACAGG
rnacentral:rRNA from 1 species